CUAUGGUGGCGACCGGCGCACGGGUGCGUAACGCGUAUGCAACCUACCUUUAACAGGGGGAUAACACUGAGAAAUUGGUACUAAUACCCCAUAAUAUCAUAGAAGGCAUCUUCUUGGGUUAAAAACUCCGGUGGUUAAAGAUGGGCAUGUGUUGUAUUAGCUAGUUGGUGAGGUAACGGCUCACCAAGGCAACGAUACAUAGGGGGACUGAGAGGUUAACCCCCCACAUUGGUACUGAGACACGGACCAA
rnacentral:rRNA from 1 species